ensembl:lncRNA
GUGUGUUAUCAUUUCAGUAGUAGACCAGUUAGACCAUAGUGUGUUAUCAUUUCAGUAGUAGACCAGUUAGACCAUAGUGUGUUAUCAUUUCAGUAGUAGACCAGUUAGACCAUAGUGUGUUAUCAUUUCAGUAGUAGACCAGUUAGACCAUAGUGUGUUAUCAUUUCAGUAGUAGACCAGUUAGACCAUAGUGGUUAAGUAAGGAGACUUAACAUCUGAGAGAUGUACAGUAGCUAUACAUUAUGUUCCUGAUAAGACUAUGUAACACUGUACAUAAGGACUAUGUAACACUGUACAUAAGGACUACUUAACAGAUCAACCUGCAGCUGUUGACAUAAGCAUUUAUGAACUGUUUAUGCACUUCCUAUGAAUGUGUAAUGAAUGUUUUAUGAUGUCCUUACAGUAUCUAUGUACCCGUCAAAUAAAGUGUUCCCAACUACUGUAUGUACUGAGACUGGAGUUCGGACUAAAUGAGAGAAAGGACUUCAUGGCACUGCCUUGGCUUUUAAGCUGGUAUGGCACUAGGCCUGGUUUGGCACUAGGCUUGGUUUGGCACUAGGCUUUGUUUGGCACUAGGCUUGGCACUAGGCAUGGUUUGGCACUAGGCUUGGCACUAGGCAUGGUUUGGCACUAGGCUUGGCACUAGGCUUGGUUUGGCACUAGGCAUGGUUUGGCACUAGGCAUGGUUUGGCACUAG